rnacentral:sRNA from 1 species
GUGACAAGGGAGUUAUAUUAUUGCAAAUCGGCGAAGCGAACGCUCUAUCCUGAUGACCUCUCUCCCAGCACCAGUAAACACAGGGCGAAAACCCCGGCCAUCGAUAACAGAGCCAUUAAUAAAGCUCUAAUGCAGUACGUUUUGUGCUACAGCCCAAAGUUUGGGCUAUUUGAUAGUUAUUCAGGUCAGGGGAUGCCCAUGUAACUUCAUCACAACAAUAAGGUACCCGCCAGGUAUCCUGCCAUAUUCUAUGGUAUCCUUGCGCGGCUCGCACUGGAGCAGCCAUGAACCUGGGCUUUCCAACAGGUGCAAACCAUGACGCAUCUUCGGUUUAAUCAGGGC